ensembl:lncRNA
ACGAUUGGUCAUUUAAAAAAAAAAAAAAAAAAAAAUGUAUAUGCUUUAUAAACACUUUUCUCUCACAUCUGCCGACUGUCAAAACUGGAAGACAUUCUGGCGGAUGAUGUAGCAUGUAUGGGUCGCGCAUGCGCCUCUGGGAAAUGUAGGAGAAAAGGAAACAACAUUUCCUUACUUUAGCAAAAGAAAACCAGUCUCCUCUUGGCUUAUAUCAAAAUCCUCUGACAUUUUCCUUAAAAUCCUCGUUUUGUGGUUCUAAUUCGUGAAUGCUGUUUUGUUUUGUUCUUUCUCUGUGCUCAUCAUUAAUCAUGCAACGCCGACGUGCUACAUCAUCCACUGGAACGGCUUCCAGUUUUGACAGUUGGCAGAAGUGAGAGAAAAGUGUUUAUAAAGCAUAUACACUUUUUUUUUUUUUUAAAUGACCAAUCGUUUCACCAGAUAAGACCCUUAUUCAUCGUCUGGUAUGGUUUAUAGUCCUUUGAAGCUGCACUGAAACUGUAAUUUUGACCUUGAAUCGUUUGGAGUCCAUGACGUCUACUACAUGCUGGAAUGCUUUCAUCAAAAACCUUAAUUUCUUUUCGACUGAAGAAAGAAAGACAUAAUCAUCUUGGAUGACAUGGGGGUGAGUAAAUUAUCAGAAAAUGUUAAUUUGAAAGUGAACUAAUCCUUUAAAGAAAAAAAAUUAGGAUAGCAAUAAUUUACAUUUCUCUUCGCUGAUUGGAUUACAUCACAACAUGUCAUGCGUAUUUCCCGCUGGAGCUAAAAUUUUUAAACUUGUGCAGAAGACGCGAUUAAAGCAAACAUCGCACAUUUGCAGCAAUUGCGAAUUCAAGUCUAUUCGCCUCUUUGUGUUGACUUUGUAUGUAGACUAAUCUACUCACACAGAUAAUUAAAUUCGCUUUUGGUAUGCACACACCAUAAGGCUUGUUUAAGUGAAAAACAGUAACCUUUGGGGCGGAGCUUAGGGAAACUGCCAAUUGACCAUUUUCAUCGUCUGUGCAUUACACCUGAAUGUGCUUUCUCAUUCAUUUCGAGUCUAUCAGAACUUUCUCUGAAUGAAACCUGCUGAAUCCAGUGCAAUAUGAUUUAUUUAUUUUUUUUGUUAAUUGACAUGUAAAUUACAUACUGCUUAUUGUAAAGGCUUAUUCUGUUGUCAUGUGUUGUACUUUUUUGGUUUUCAUGUGGUACUAUACUCAGGCAUCAUCUAUCUAUGAACGUGUUAUUUUAUAAAAGUCAAUUAUCUAAUGUUUACGGACACAAAUCUUUGUUGGCUUCAGUUCUGUUGAUUUUCUUUUUACUUUUCUUUAUUUAUUAAGUGACGCACGUUUCCAGAGUCACAUUUCAUGAUGACAGGUUUCAUAUGGUGCAGAACAUACUCCUAAAAGUACCCCCCAAAAGCCCAUGGCUGUCAGGAGAGAUUAUGCCAAAUUCCUCCUUGUGUGACAGAGAUCCCUAAAAACCAUUUAAACUUAUAGAAACUGGAAACUCUUUACUAAGGUGGAGUAUCUCUAGUCAGGGAGUAUCUGAGAUGGUCUUUGGCUUUUGAAUUGCUGCAGGUACAAUUUAUUACAUUGCUCCAUAUUCCAUACGAAAACAACCUGACACAUGUCCUGUUGUUGCCAUAGAAAUAAAAACUUUGUACUUUGUGUACCUUAACUUUUUAUAUUUAUGUCUAAUAUAUCGAUGAGUACCUCUUUUUUUUCUUUUAUAUAAGAUCUAUGAAUAUAGUACACAACACAAUAUAUGAGAAAAAACACAUGAAAACAUACACGGAUGCUGUAUGAACUAACAGUCUCUGUGUCGAAAUAGUGCUGUGUACUUUUAUUUUGUGUCUUUGAGUCUCUCUCUUUCUCUUUUUGUAGGUAUUGGUAAAGUUACAUUUCCAGGUGACAAUGAUUUUGAUUCUUGUUCUAAAGCUCUCUGUGUUUUGGCCACUGUAAAUGCAGCUGUCAUCAGAAUGAAUCUGUACAUUUAGUACUCUCUCAAGUUGCUAUUAAUAAGAUGUUAAAAUGAAAUGGGCUGUCUUUCUAUAAACACCAUCAAAUGUUUGUAAAAUGAUUAUGGGGUGUUAUUUGGACUGGGACAAUGAUAUUGAAAAUAAAAGUCAUUCAAAAAAGAAAAGCACUGUAUGCUGGCAUAUUACUGCUGAUUGUUUCUUGAAAAUAUUUAUUUCAUGUUCUAUUCAUUCAGCGCUAGUCACAAAAAUUCAAUUUUGUGAACAGGAUUGUUGGUAGCCUCUAAGAUUUAAUUAAUUUUUUUUCCUAUUGAUUGAACCAGAUGAGAAUGUUUUCCAGACAUCUUUGUAUCUUUUGUGGAUGGCUAAACCAUCAGAACUAGUCCUACACCGCCGCUAAGACAUUAAAGAGUCCAACCACAUUUUUACCAGAUGAAUCGCUGUAUGAUUUCCCAUAAAAUAUGAUGUUGUGUUCCCAUUUAUCAAAUGACUAGGCUAAACAAAGCCUAAUGAGCAGCAUUUCUCUGAUGAUGAUCGAGAUGAAAAAUUGAAACACUCCAUCAU